AACGCGAAGAACCUUACCUGGGCUUGAACCGCACAGGACCAGCUUGAGAAAUCAGGCCUUCCCGCAAGGGACCUGUGUAGAGGUGCUGCAUGGCUGUCGUCAGCUCGUGCCGUGAGGUGUUGGGUUAAGUCCCGCAACGAGCGCAACCCUUACUCAUAGUUGCUACCCGCAAGGGAGAACUCUAUGAGGACUGCUCCGGAUAACGGAGAGGAAGGUGGGGAUGAGGUCAAGUCAGCAUGGCCUUUAUGUCCAGGGCUACACACGUGUUACAAUGCGCGCCACAAAGCGUCGCGAACCCGCGAGGGGGAGCUAAUCGCAAAAAGCGCGCUCAGUUCGGAUUGCAGUCUGCAACUCGACUGCAUGAAGCCGGAAUCGCUAGUAAUGGCGCAUCAGAACGGCGCCGUGAAUACGUUCCCGGGCCUUGUA
rnacentral:rRNA from 1 species